AGGACGAACGCUGGCGGCGUGCUUAACACAUGCAAGUCGAGCGAGGCCCCGUCUUCGGGUGGGUGUCCUAGCGGCGAACGGGUGAGUAACACGUGGGCAACCUGCCCCCGGCUCUGGGAUAACUCCAAGAAAUUGGGGCUAAUACCGGAUAUGACUGCUGACCGCAUGGUCUGGUGGUGGAAAGAUUUAUCGGCUGGGGAUGGGCCCGCGGCCUAUCAGCUUGUUGGUGGGGUAGUGGCCUACCAAGGCGACGACGGGUAGCCGGCCUGAGAGGGUGACCGGCCACACUGGGACUGAGACACGGCCCAGACUCCUACGGGAGGCAGCAGUGGGGAAUAUUGCGCAAUGGGCGAAAGCCUGACGCAGCGACGCCGCGUGGGGAUGACGGCCUCGGUUGUAACUCUUCUAGCAGGACGAAGCGAAGUAGACGGUACCGUGCAGAAGAAGACGACCGGCCAACUACGUGCCAGCACGCCGC
rnacentral:rRNA from 1 species